UGGGGAAUAUUGCACAAUGGGCGCAAGCCUGAUGCAGCCAUGCCGCGUGUAUGAAGAAGGCCUUCGGGUUGUAAAGUACUUUCAGCGGGGAGGAAGGGAGUAAAGUUAAUACCUUUGCUCAUUGACGUUACCCGCAGAAGAAGCACCGGCUAACUCCGUGCCAGCAGCCGCGGUAAUACGGAGGGUGCAAGCGUUAAUCGGAAUUACUGGGCGUAAAGCGCACGCAGGCGGUCUGUCAAGUCGGAUGUGAAAUCCCCGGGCUCAACCUGGGAACUGCAUUCGAAACUGGCAGGCUAGAGUCAUGUAGAGGGGGGUAGAAUGCCAGGUGUAGCGGUGAAAUGCGUAGAGAUCUGGAGGAAUACCGGUGGCGAAGGCGGCCCCCUGGACAAAGACUGACGCUCAGGUGCGAAAGCGUGGGAAGCAAACAGG
rnacentral:rRNA from 1 species